GGGACUGUGGCUCAGUGGUAGAGCAUUGGCCUAGCACCAGGUGAGAACCUGGGUUCAAUCCUCAGCACCCA
rnacentral:tRNA from 1 species